GCUCCAGUAGCUCAGUGGAUAGAGCAACCGCCUUCUAAGCGGUCGGUCACAGGUUCGAACCCUGUCUGGAGCG
rnacentral:tRNA from 1 species